CCUACGGGAGGCAGCAGUCGAGAAUUUUUCUCAAUGGGGGAAACCCUGAAGGAGCGACGCCGCGUGGAGGAUGAAGGUCUUCGGAUUGUAAACUCCUGUCAUUGGUGAACAAAGCCACAGGUUAACUGCCUUGUGGUUUGCUAGUAGCCGAAGAGGAAGGGACGGCUAACUCUGUGCCAGCAGCCGCGGUAAU
rnacentral:rRNA from 1 species